UACAGAGGUCUCAAGCGUUGUUCGGAUUCAUUGGGCGUAAAGGGUGCGUAGGUGGCGCCGUAAGUCGGGUGUGAAAUUUCGGAGCUUAACUCCGAAACUGCAUUCGAUACUGCGGUGCUUGAGGACUGGAGAGGAGACUGGAAUUCAUGGUGUAGCAGUGAAAUGCGUAGAUAUUGGGAGGAACACCGGUGGCGAAGGCGGCCCCCUGGACCGGUACUGACGCUGAGGCGCGAAAGCGUGGGUAGCAAACGGG
rnacentral:rRNA from 1 species